ensembl:lncRNA
UAGGAUAUUAAGAGAUCAAUAUUUCAAAAGCAGAGUGGUCCACAUAGUGAAAUGGCUCUGGUCAUGGUUUUUGAGUGUGAAGAAAUGAGAGAUGAUUAGCACUGUAAAGAAAUUAAGAAAUGUGAGGUUUGAGCAUUCAGCAAAUUGUUCUCUUGAGUGUUGGGGUUGUUAGAAUAAUGGUAGGAAUGAGGUGGAAAGGACAACUCAGCAAUGACCAUGAAAUGACAGUGACAAGGAAAGAUUCAGUAACUGGACGGCUUGAUCUUGAGUGAGUUGUGAGCAGGAGGGGAAGAAUUUGGAUAGAAGUAGCAAAGCAGGUGAGAAAGGAAAGCUGUUCCAAUAAAACUUGACUUAGAUGACUCAGCUGCCUGCACUGUACACUUCUUCUGUCCCUUUCUCACCUUGUCCAGUACUACCAGCCCCGUAUUCCUUCCAGGGCAUUUGUGCAAACAGUUGUCAGUUGAGGAGGAAUGUGUUUAAUGUUUUAGGAACUAGUAACAUUCAAGGAUGUCUCUGGGGGCUUCACUGAGGAGGAGCGGGGCUGCCGGGACCCCACUCAGAGGAAGCUGCACCGAGCUGUGAUGCUGGAGAACUACAGCCAGUUGGUCUCCGUAGGAUCUCACCGGGAUAUGGAGCCACAUGAGAUCACAAGAACCUGCGUGUAAUGAGGCUGGGGGAAGGUCUGAAGUUCAGAUCUCAGUGGUGUGCUGGAAUCCCCCCUUGGAAAGACUGGACUUCUACAGUGUCUCUCAUCUGUGGGUAUCUGCCCAGGAUGCACUCCAUGUUUUCCCCAAACACAGCCAAGAAGGGGCUGGAGCAGGUUCAUUGGCUGUCCUCAUUCUGCAGCCCCUACCAAGGUCUGUCUGCCUAUUGCUGAACACAAGGUGGUCAAGACUCCUUUCAGGCUCCUUGGCAUAUAGUACUGGAUCCCACAAAUCCUACAGAGGCACUUUUAUUCAUGAAUGGAUGCCUAAUUAAAUGUUAAAGAAGGGAACAAGAAGGAAGAACGCUUUUCAUGCCAUGAUGCCUCUCCGUUCAGCCCGUGUAAUGUCAUUCUACUGAUUUGGUCUCCAUUGUUUCUGAUGAGAAAUCAGCUGUUAAUAUUAUUGUAUAUGGUAAAUUGCUUUUCUUUCACUGCUUUCAAAAUUUUCUGUUUCUGGCUUGACUAUAACGUAUCUAGCUGUGGGUCUGUUUGUAUUUAUACUACUUUGCAUUUAUUGAGCUUAAUGAAUAUGUAAAUUAACAUUUUUCAUCAAAUUUGGGAAGUUUUUGGAUAUUACUUAUGUUUUCUAUGCCUUUCUCUCCUCUCCUUCUGGGACUCCCAUUAUUGUUUUGUUGCUAUGUCUGGUGGCGUUCCACAGGUCUCUGAGGCUCUGUUCGCUUUUCCUCAUUCCUCUUAUGCUUUCUGGUGUCUAGACUGUAAAUCCCUAUUGAUCUAUCCUCAAAUUCACGGAUUCUUUCCAUUGCCAGCUCAAAUCUGAUGUUAAAAUCCUUCUACUGAUUUUUUUUCAUUUCACUCAUUGUACUUUGCAAGUCCAUACCUCCCAUGUUUUCUUUAAUAAUUUCUUUUUACUGAUGAUUUCUAUUUGAUGAGCCAGUGUCAUCAUACUUUCCUUUUAAUCUUUAAGCAUUGUUUCCUUUAGUUCUUUGAACAUAUUUAUAAUAGCUUUUUUGAACAAUUUUCCUGUUAAGUCCAGAAUCUGGACCCCCUGGGAGACAGUUUCUAUUAACUGUUAUUUAGAAUGGAAAACCUCUCCUGAUCUAUCUUCAAAUUCAGUGGUUCUUACUUAUGCCAGAUUAAUCCUUUUAAACAUAUUUAGACUUGUUUUAUGGCCCCAAAUAUGGUCUAUCUCAGUGAGUAUGCCAUAUGUACAUAUUCAACUUACUUAACAGUUAUAGAGCUCUUCUGCAUUUUCUAUUUAAUUUGGGUUGGAUUUAGUAUAUGUUUUUCAAAAUAUUAGUCCACCUCCUCUCAGUUAUGGAAUUUACUAACAUGAUGUUUUCCAUAAUAUCCUCUUCUCUAUAAUAUCCAUAGAUACUAUAAUCUACAUAAUGGAACACACUGGAGUUUGUCUGUGAAUUCUUCCAGAUUUUCUGCAUAGACAACCAUGCCAGCUGCAAACAAAGACUUUGUAUCUUCCUUCCUAACCUACAUACAUUUUAUUUCCCUUUCUUGCCUUACUGCAAUAGCAAGGGCUUCCAGUACAAUUUUGAAAAAGAGUGGUAAGAAGGGACAUCCUUCCCUUAUAAUAGAUCUUAAUGCAAAAGCUUUGAGUUUCUCAUUACUAAAUAUGAUCUUAACUGUAGGGUUUUUUUGUGGUCUUUAUCAAGUUGAGAAACUUCCACUCUAUUCCUAGUGAAGUUUUUAUCACAAGUUAGUGUUGGAUUCCACACAUGAAUUAUAAAGCCAUAAAAAAGGAGGAACACAACAUUUGCAACAUGAAUGGACCUUGAGAGCAUUAUGCUAAGUAAAAUAAGUCAGAGAAAGAAAGACAAGUGAUAUGAUCUCACUUGUAUUUUUUUCUUUUAAAGUAGGGUCCAUGCCCAACAUGGGGCUUGAACUCAGGACCCUGAGAUCAAGAGUCACGUGCUCUAUCAACUGAGCCAGUCAGGCACCACAAUCUGUAUUUUAACAUAUGAUCUCACUUGUAUUUGUAUGCGAAUCAAAAACGAAAGGAAGAAAGAAAAAAAGAAAGAAAACACUGAGCUCUUAAAUAAAAAGAACAGAUUGAUGGUUGCCA